GAGUUGCUUCCCAGCCUGGAGGGCGAGGCAACCUCUGUAAAACACCAGUACUAGCCCUCCCAACAUUUACAGGUGGAAAGCUGGUGCGGGAAAAUAUCAGCCAAUACAUGUGCCAUAGUAGGGGACAGUCCCAGGACAGCGGCCUGGGACCCUCGAUACUUCAUCCAAGAUGAUCGCUUCUAUGGCGUCUUCACCGUCACCAUGACUGAGCUCAGAGUAGAGGCCUUGGGAUUCCAUGGGUGUGGAA
rnacentral:lncRNA from 1 species